UUGACAUCCAUGUUAUGGAAAUUUUAGGUAUCUUCCCGAACCUGGGGAACCCUCUUCUCUUUUUUUCUUUUUGUUUUUUUAUUGGAAAAGAUGGAGCUUUCAUUCAAGUGUCAAUGGGUUGAAUGGAAUCUUCCCAAUCAGGGUUACCAUCUCUCAUGCGACAACUAUAUAAACCCACAAUCAUCAUCCAAUUCACCCCACACCGAAUCUUCCCAGUCAAGGGCUCGAUUUCAAUUCUCAAAUUGGUUCCAUAGCCAUGGAGUUUGGAGUUCUGAGGAAGAAUUUCGAUGAGUUGAAGGAUCUGGCCGAGAAGCAAGAGACGAGACUGCGUUACCAUGAGAGCAGAGCCCACAACAUAGCUAUGGCCUACCUUAUCUGGGAGCGAUUCUUCUUCUUUGGUGUGUCCCAGGCUUCUUCUUCUUCUUCUUCUUCCCUCCUACUCAAGUGUUCUAAUUGGUCCAUGGUUUUGGGUUUGAGCCUUUCGUGUUCCUUCCUCUACUUUUUGUUCUUCUUGGAGACCCUCACCAUGUUGUAUUUGGCUCACUACCAUUUCGACAUAGUUUGCAAGAAGCAGAUCCAACUCUGCCGACAGAUUUUGGAUGCUGUGGAGACGUCAAUUGAGGCUGGAGAUUCGAGUGAUGGGUUCGGGUUCAGUUUCCAAGUCCAGGUACUUGAGUACCAUCCAUUUACAAUUCUCAAGAGGAGAUUUUACAUUGGCUCCAUUCUCUGUGCUCUGCUUGCUGUUACUGCUUUUGAAUUGUACGCCUGUAAGCACUCAUUAUGCACCAACUGAACUGGACAUCGUUUCGAUUUUGCUCCCUACUGGUACAGCUUGGCAUGUCUUCCAGGACAAAGGUCCAUGGACCAGUGGAAUGAAGUUCAAAAACCCGUAUGAUAAAUGAGCUCCAGAGGAUGUCCAGGAGCAUAUGGUAUUCACCAGUAAUUAUUGUUCGCUGUAAUUUCAAGUUGGAUACUGUGUCCCUCCUCUGGUAUGAAAUUCUUUAUUGGUUUCAAGUUUCAUUCAGUGAUUUUUUGGUCAUUUUAUUUUGUAUAUUUUCAUAGGAAAUUAAGGAAAUCAAGCAUGAUGGAAUACUUUCUGAAAACUAGCUUGAAAUCAAGAAGGGAAUGGUUAAAUGAAAAAGGUUCGAAGAAUUGGGUAAAUCACAAGUCUUAUUCUAAAUGGAAGUUCACAACUACAAGAUCUCGUGAAUAACUUACCAUUUGGGUAGAAUUGGUAUUUAUCCAGUUCCUUAUUGAUAGGUUGUGAUGGUGGUGCUUCCCAUUGCUUCUGGCAAGGUACACCUCACCUCACAUCGUGCCAUAGGCGCACCUUGAAAAUGCUAGAAGAAACACUUCUGAAUUAUUAGUUUUACCCCAAAAUAGACUCAAUGGGAGCCUCGAGGAACAAAGAAUUAUGGAUUUGUGGAUUUGAAAAGUUAUGAAAUUUUAAGUUAUCUGUUGAAAGGAAAUGACCGAUUCUGAAAUUUUUUGAACACUCUAUCACUUACAAUUCUGGCAUUUUUUUUGUAAUGUUGUGAGUUGAUUUGUUAUUUUUACUUUAAAACAGAUUCGAAUAAUGAAAACCUAGGAACAAGAACUAGUUCAUUGGAUAAGUGGAAAGCAAGUUUUGAAUAUUUGCAUGAAAACAGAAAGACAAGCAUACUAACUUGCCUCUCUUGACCAACUAAUAUGAACCAAGGGACCAUCAUCCUAGUACCCGAAGUACUCAACCUCCAACCGAGGAAGAAGAUUUAAGUUCCAAGUUUAUUAUUAAUUUUAUUAGUGUUAGCUCAUUGUGGGCCAUUAAGAUGUUUUAUUUACCGUUUGAUCAUUGACAAAAUUUAGCCUAGAGCUUCUUGGGACUUCUGCAGUUUUGGUCUUGAGUCGCAUGCCAAGAAUAUUAAAGUAAGAUUAGUCGUUCUAUUAGAGGAAUGUCCAACUCUUGAGACAAAGAACUUAGAGCUUGACCUUGUGGAUAGGAACUACCAUUGGAGGUCUCAAUUGCAACCUGAUUCUGGACAGCAAAUUGUCGACAAAUAGGUAUGCUUUGCUACUACUUUUUUCCUUCAUUUAUUUUGUUCUUCUCUCGUUGGUUGUGGGUUAUUUUUGAUUUCUUGAGAUUCAAGGCUUUAUGUAUCAUUGUGCUGUGGAAUCUUGCUGGGAGAUCACUGGUGGAUGAUUGGAUGAAAAUUCUAUAAAGUUUGUAAUCACUUAUGAUUAGUUUAAAUACUAUUUUAGUCACUGGACCGUACACUUUAAUUCA